rnacentral:rRNA from 1 species
GGCGAUACAAUGUCAGCGGCCAAGCGAAAGCGUUAAGCAUCCCACCUGGGGAGUACGCCGGCAACGGUGAAACUCAAAGGAAUUGACGGGGGCCCGCACAAGCGGAGGAACAUGUGGUUUAAUUCGAUGAUACGCGAGGAACCUUACCCGGGCUUGAACUGCCAGCGAACGAUACAGAGAUGUUGAGGCCCUUCGGGGCGCUGGUGGAGGUGCUGCAUGGUUGUCGUCAGCUCGUGCCGUGAGGUGUCGGCUUAAGUGCCAUAACGAGCGCAACCCUUCUGCGUAGUUGCCAUCAGGUUAUGCUGGGCACUCUGCGCACACUGCCACCGU